rnacentral:rRNA from 1 species
CCUACGGGAGGCAGCAGUGGGGGAUAUUGCACAAUGGGGGAAACCCUGAUGCAGCGACGCCGCGUGUGGGAAGACGGUCCUCUGGAUUGUAAACCACUGUCCCCAGGGACGAAGAUGACGUUACCUGGGGAGGACGCUCCGGCUAACUACGUGCCAGCAGCCGCGGUAAUACGUAGGGAGCGAGCGUUGUCCGGAAUUACGGGGUGUAAGGGGAGCGUAGGCGGGACUGCAAGUUGGGUGUCAAAUCUACCGGCUCAACCGGUAGCCGCACUCAAAACUGCAGUUCUUGAGUGAAGUAGAGGCAGGCGGAAUUCCUAGUGUAGCGGUGAAAUGCGUAGAUAUUAGGAGGAACACCAGUGGCGAAGGCGGCCUGCUGGGCUGUGACUGACGCUGAGGCUCGAAAGUGUGGGGAGCAAACAGGAUUAGAUACCCGAGUAGUC